UAUUUAUUAAGUUUUGGGUGCGUUUAAAAAGUGAUGCCUAAUGUGUCUAGAAUAAAAAAUUUUACACUUAGUAAAUUUUUUCCCUACUCUUUUCCCUGAAAGCAAAGUCACAUACAAUACACUUAGUGAAAUUUUUGACAUUCCCUCCAAAGAACAACGCACCCUCCAAAUUUGACAUUCAUCCUCGCAACCCUGCCUCGCCUGCACCUACUUCGUACACCCUCGCAACCCUGCCUCCGUCCAAAGCCCACCGUCGAUCGUCGCCCCCCAUUCACUCUCGCCGUUGACCCUCUCCCUCCAAAGCACGCAACUUCAUCCCCUUUCGUACACCCUCGCAACCCUGCCUCUGUCCAAAGCCCACCGUCGAUCGUCGCCCCCCACUCACUCUCUUCACUCUCGCCAUUGACCCUCUCACUGUCGCUCUCGCCAUUGACCCUCUCAUACAAGAAGAAACCCUCCUCUUCGCCAUCUUGCACAGAUCGUCGCUGCGCCGCCCUUACCAUCGUCGCUGCUGCCGCUCUCACCAUCGUCAUCUCCGUGCUUCUCAUCAUCGUCUUCUCUGUGCUCACAUCAUUGAAUAGUUGUCAAAGAUGUUGGUAGAAAUGACCUUGCUGCUUUAAUUGAUAGUUCACAGGAAGUGGCUAAGAAGUCCUUGGAAAAAGCUGCAGAGUGUGUGAGAUGCCUUGAGGAAGAUAUGGCAAAGGCUAGGUAA